UACGUAGGUGGCAAGCGUUGUCCGGAUUUACUGGGCGUAAAGAGCGCGCAGGCGGUCGUUCAAGUCGCGUGUGAAAGCCCCCGGCUCAACUGGGGAGGGUCACGCGAUACUGAUCGACUCGAAGGCAGGAGAGGGUAGUGGAAUUCCCGGUGUAGUGGUGAAAUGCGUAGAUAUCGGGAGGAACACCAAUGGCGAAGGCGACUACCUGGCCUGUUCUUGACGCUGAGGCGCGAAAGCUAGGGGAGCAAACGGG
rnacentral:rRNA from 1 species